CGGCUACCACAUCCAAGGAAGGCAGCAGGCGCGCAAAUUACCCAAUCCCAAUACGGGGAGGUAGUGACAAUAAAUAACAAGCCAGGGCCUUUCGGGGCUUUGGCAUUGGAAUGAGUACAAUGUAAACACCUUAACGAGGAACAAUUGGAGGACAAGUCUGGUGCCAGCACCCGCGGUAAUUCCAGCUCCAAUAGCGUAUAUUAAAGUUGUUGCAGUUAAAAAGCUCGUAGUUGAAAUCAGGCGCGGCUGACCGGUCUGCCUCACGGCGUGCACUGGUCUCGGCCGUGCCUCCCUCUUGGGUCUCCCGAGAGCGCUUGACUGUGCGCUCGGGCAGGGCCAGGACUUUUACUUUGAAAAAAUUAGAGUGUUCAAAGCAGGCAUUUGCUCGGAUACAUUAGCAUGGAAUAAUAGAAUAGGACGUCGAUCCUAUUUUGUUGGUUUCUAGGACCGCCGUAAUGAUUAAUAGGGAUAGUUGGGGGCAUUAGUAUUCAAUUGUCAGAGGUGAAAUUCUUGGAUUUAUUGAAGACUAACUACUGCGAAAGCAUUUGCCAAGGAUGUUUUCAUUAAUCAAGAACGAAAGUUAGGGUAUCGAAGACGAUUAGAUACCGUCGUAGUCUUAACCAUAAACUAUGCCGACUAGGGAUCGGGCGCAGUUUCAAACAACUCGCUCGGCACCUUAAGAGAAAUCAAAGUUUUUGGGUUCUGGGGGGAGUAUGGUCGCAAGGCUGAAA
rnacentral:rRNA from 1 species